rnacentral:rRNA from 1 species
AUGCAAGUCGAGGGGGAUUAUCGGUGUAGCAAUACACUGGUAUGAGACCGGCAAACGGGUGCGGAACACGUACGCAACCUUCCCAAAACUGGUGAAUAGCCCUCCGAAAGGAGGAUUAAUGCACCGUAACAUAAUGGAGUGGCAUCACUUUAUUAUUAUAGCUCCGGCGGUUUUGGAUGGGCGUGCGCCUGAUUAGGUAGUUGGCGGGGUAACGGCCCACCAAGCCUUCGAUCAGUAACUGGUGUGAGAGCACGACCAGUCACACGGGCACUGAGACACGGGCCCGACUCCUACGGGAGGCAGCAGUAAGGAAUAUUGGUCAAUGGACGCAAGUCUGAACCAGCCAUGCCGCGUGAAGGAUGACGGCCCUCUGGGUUGUAAACUUCUUUUAUCUGGGACGAAAAAGGGCUUUCUAGCUCGACUGACGGUACCAGAGGAAUAAGCACCGGCUAACUCCGUGCCAGCAGCCGCGGUAAUACGGAGGGUGCGAGCGUUAUCCGGAUUUACUGGGUUUAAAGGGUGCGUAGGUGGGUCUGUAAGUCAGUGGUGAAAUCUCCGAGCUUAACUCGGAAACUGCCAUUGAUACUAUAGGUCUUGAAUUAUCUGGAGGUAAGCGGAAUAUGUCAUGUAGCGGUGAAAUGCUUAGAUAUGACAUAGAACACCAAUUGCGAAGGCAGCUUACUACGGAUUGAUUGACACUGAGGCACGAAAGCGUGGGGAUCAAACAGGAUUAGAUACCCUGGUAGUCCACGCCCUAAACGAUGGAUACUCGACAUUUGCGAUAUACUGUAAGUGUCUGAGCGAAAGCAUUAAGUAUCCCACCUGGGAAGUACGAUCGCAAGAUUGAAACUCAAAGGAAUUGACGG